AGUGAACGCUGGCGGUAGGCCUAACACAUGCAAGUCGAACGGCAGCACAGUAAGAGCUUGCUCUUACGGGUGGCGAGUGGCGGACGGGUGAGGAAUACAUCGGAAUCUACUUUUUCGUGGAGGAUAACGUAGGGAAACUUACGCUAAUACCGCAUACGAUCUACGGGUGAAAGUAGUGGAUCUUCGCACCUUGCGCGAUUGAAUUAGCCGAUGUCGGAUUAGCUAGUCGGCUGGGUAAAGGCCCACCAAGGCGACGAUCCGUAGCUGGUCUGAGAGGAUGAUCAGCCACACUGGAACUGAGACACGGUCCAGACUCCUACGGGAGGCAGCAGUGGGGAAUAUUGGACAAUGGGCGCAAGCCUGAUCCAGCCAUACCGCGUGGGUGAAGAAGGCCUUCGGGUUGUAAAGCCCUUUUGUUGGGAAAGAAAAGCAGCAGGUUAAUACCCCGCUGUUCUGACGGUACCCAAAGAAUAAGCACCGGCUAACUUCGUG
rnacentral:rRNA from 1 species